UACGAAGGGGGCUAGCGUUGUUCGGAAUUACUGGGCGUAAAGGCGUGCGCAGGCGGCUUCUCAAGUCAGGGGUGAAAGCCCAAAGCUCAACUCUGGAAUUGCCUUUGAGACUGAGUGGCUUGAGUACGAGAGAGGUGAGUGGAAUUCCCAGUGUAGAGGUGAAAUUCGUAGAUAUUGGGAAGAACACCGGGUGGCGAAGGCGGCUCACUGGCCCGAUACUGACGCUGAGGCACGAAAGCGUGGGGAGCAAACAGG
rnacentral:rRNA from 1 species